rnacentral:lncRNA from 10 species
UUUGUGUGUGGUUUUGUAACAUGAUUCUUUCAGUCAUCAUUUCCAGGCCACAUUUUUCAUGUCACUCAUGACUGCAUUAUAAGUUUGUACCAUAAUUCAUUUAACCAAUACUCUGUUGUGCAUUUAGAAUAUUUUCAGAUGUUUAUUGUCCUUAUAAAAGUCAGUAUGAAGGUAUGCAAUUAUCACUUAGGCCACAUUCCUGGAAGUAAAAUUGUUGGAAUGGAAACUAUGUACAUUUUACAGUGCAGAUUGCUGGAAGAGUUUUAUGCAAAAACUUAUACAAAAAUUUACACUCUUACCAGCAGAAAGCCUCAGCGCCACUGAGUGCUGUUGUAUUGUUAAUCUUGAUUAAUCUGGUAUGUGAAGAAGGAUGUUUCAAUGUUUUGUCUGUGUCUCUCUGAUUAUUUUGCUUGUUGAUUGGCCAGUUGUUAAUUCUGUCUUUGUGAGUUGUCUUUUUCUCAGUACUUGGCCUAUUUGUCUUUGAUUUGAAAAAGCUCUUUAUGUUGUAGUCAUUUUAAUUCCUGUCAUAUGUUUUGUAAACAAUUUUUCGAGUUCAUAAUUUUUCAAUCUUGUUUGUAUUAUAUUUUGCCACACAAAAAUUUUAAAUUUGUAUAGUCAAAUUUAUCAGUCUUUUUCCUUAUGUUGGACCUUCUAAUCUCAAGGUACUAAAUAUAAUCUAGCAUUUUUUUAAACAUUAAAAAUUUUUAAUCCAUCUAUAAUUUAUUUUAGGAUAGGGAGUGAGGCAGGGGAAGGUAUCUUUUUAAAUAAAAAUCGUUGCUAAAUGGUUGGCUAGUUGUCCUAUUAAUAGUCAUUGAGACCAGGAGCGGUGGUUCACCCCUGUAAUCCCAGCACUGUGGGAGGCUGAGGUGGGAGGAUCACUUGAGGUCAGGAGUUCGAGACUAGCCUGGGCAACAUGGCGACACACAAUCUUUACAAAAAAUAAGAAUUAACAGAGGCCAGGCUAGUCUCGAGCUCGUGACCUCACGUGAUCCUCCCGUCUCCGCCUCCCAAAGUGCUGGAAUUACUGGCAUGAGCCACCGAGGCUGGCCUGAGUAUUCUAGUUUAUAACUUACAAGGUCAUUCAUAUGUAUAUGUUGUUGUGCUUGUCUAGCUAUUUUAUAUUUUGUUAUUCUGAACUCUUGGCCUCUAUCUCAGCUCCAGCCCCUGAAAGUGCAGGAGUGCUUUUGCUCUGCCAGUCGGCCUUUUUUGGGAAAUCAUAUCAAGAUGGCUUUUCCAGCACAAUUACUUCCUAGAGUGUCUGCUUGAUGCAUGGAAACUCAUAGAUUUUUGGCAUGCCAAACAGAGGGUUUUCCUGCCGUCACUGCUGGCUCCAGCCACAGACUUCAGUUUUCUUACCUGUUAGAGCCUUUGUCCUCUGACUGGUGGAAAUGGAGCUUGCUUCUUUUUGUUUUGCCUGCCACUAGUCUGGCAGCCUCCACCUCUUGACCCUUGGGUUUCUUAUCCUUGGAAUCAGAUACGAGGCCCUGUGUCUUCUGUUGCUGUAGAGGACACAAGUCAUAUUCUCUGAGUGGAGAUCUCUCUGAAGCUCCUCUUUCCAGGCUUGUACUGAGGGACCUCUGGACCCUCUACCACGUGGUGUCAAAGCUGCCAAGAGCUGUCAUAUGCUGGGUCUGUAAAUUGACUUUCUCACCUCUGACCAGAUGCAUUCACUUGAGCGGCACAGAGAUUUGGGGGAGUGAAAGGGCACUGUUUCUUUGGGUCCGUGGGCUUGUGUCCCAUCCCCUAGCCUUGGGGUUAGCAGGAUUCAGAAUUUAUGAGUGUGGUCUGCAAAAGUCUACCUCUACCAGAUGGGGGAGAACCUAGUGUGUGGACCUGAAGGGUUAGCUCUGUGCUUUAGUCCCUGGGAGUGGCCAUCUUGAGUCUUGGUGGGCUUGGCAAGUAAGGAGACAUUGACCAGAUUCAAAGCUUCCAGAGGUGGUGAGAACUCCAGGGCCGAGUAAUGGAGAGUACAAAGGUCCUUCUUGGCCCCCAUGACCCUUCCAAGCCAAGAACUUGGCAGUAGCUGUGAGAAGCAGAGAUAGGGAGAGGAGGUGAGGGGCACCUAUAGCUCUUAGCCAUGAGUUAUGACUCCCUCCAUCCAAGGGAGACCCAAGGACAUGAAAGGGGACUCAGUUCCAAGGAUCAGAGGGAACUUGGGUUGUUUUGGGAUAAUGACUGUGGCUUGGGAUGUCACGGAGAUGAACACCAGAAUUGGUGUGCAACAGAUGAGCUCCAGUACCCCUGAUAGUUUGCAUGGGUUUUGCUCUGCUGAUGAUGGUCAGGGACAGCAGUGAGGCCCUCUACAAUGCCGCCUUCUGCCUAAACACAGGCAGUGCCCACAAAAGGGGAGCUGUCAUUAUGGAGCCUAGGAAUGGAUAGUCAGAGAGCAGCGGCUGGGCAGUGCAACUCCUGCAUUGGACAAGGUCCUGGCUAGAGAAUGUCAAUGUCCACACUGCAUGUAGCCCUAUCGAGGAGAUGAUGUAGGGGGCUGUCAGCCUUGGAGACUCUAGCCUAAGUACCCCACCACCACUCUGGCUGGCUUCCAAGGGCACAAAUCAGCUUUCUGAAUCUGACUUGGCUUCCUGUGAUCUGCAUUCAUGAACAUUCUUACUAGAGUUCUCAUGGAAAAUGAAUACACAACUAUUUGGUCUGAAUGUGUCUGAGUUUGGUGUCUCCAAAACAAUUCUCUGGAUUAGAUGGAGAAUGAAGAAACUUCACAAAGGCAAAAGGACAGGUCCCCAUCUCGACCCCCAGAGACCACUUCUCAGAGUCUCUAUCUGUUCGUCUCUGGUGUUAGCCACGUUCCUUUACUUUCCCUCAUUUCUGUGGCCACUCCUGUGGCUUCCUCUCUUUCAACCUGCAGGCUGCUGCUGCCCUGCCUCAGACCCUUGUAGGCUUCUGUAGAGAUGCUACUCAGAUGGGGGUGGAGCUAGAUGCAGAGCUGAAACCCACCUAGGAGAUCUAGCUUGGAGAGCUUGUGAAUCUUAGGAGAGCUAGGCAUAGAAUGACUAAAGUUUGUCACCGCAUGAG